rnacentral:rRNA from 1 species
UGCGCAGGCGGCCGUGUGUGUGAGGCGUGAAAGCCUGGAGCUUAACUCCAGAAUUGCACCUCAAACUACACGGCUAGAGCAUUGGAGAGGGUAGCGGAAUUCACGGUGUAGCAGUGAAAUGCGUAGAUAUCGUGAGGAACACCAGAGGCGAAGGCGGCUACCUGGACAAUUGCUGACGCUCAGGCACGAAAGCGUGGGGAGCAAAAGGGAUUAGAUACCCCUGUAGUCCACGCCCUAAACGGUGCACACUAGGUCUUGGCGGAUUCGACCCCACCAGGGCCCAAGCUAACGCGUUAAGUGUGCCGCCUGAGGACUACGGCCGCAAGGCUAAA